rnacentral:rRNA from 1 species
UACGUAGGGGCAAGCGUUGUCCGGAUUCAUUGGGCGUAAAGAGCGUGUAGGCGGCCAGGUAGGUCGGUUGUGAAAACUGGAGGCUCAACCUUCAGAGGUCGACCAAACCAUCUGGCUAGAGUCCGGGAGAGGAGAGUGGAAUUCCUGGUGUAGCGGUGAAAUGCGCAGAUAUCAGGAAGAACACCCGUGGCGAAAGCGGCUCUCUGGAACGGGUACUGACGCUGAGACGCGAAAAAGCGUGGGGGGAGCGAAACAGGG